rnacentral:rRNA from 1 species
AGAUUAAGUUAUUAAGGGCGCACGGUGAAUGCCUUGGCACUAGAAGCCGAUGAAGGACGUUACUAACGACGAUAUGCUUUGGGGAGCUGUAAGUAAGCUAUGAUCCAGAGAUUUCCGAAUGGGGGAACCCAACACGAGUUAUGUCGUGUUAUCGACAUGUGAAUUCAUAACAAGUCAGAAGGUAGACCCGGAGAACUGAAACAUCUUAGUACCCGGAGGAAGAGAAAGAAAAUUCGAUUCCCUGAGUAGCGGCGAGCGAAACGGGAAGAGCCCAAACCAAUGAGCUUGCUCAUUGGGGUUGUAGGACACUCUAUACGGAGUUACAAAUGUAUUUGUUAGACGAAGUAGUUGGAAAGCUACAUCAAAGAAGGUAAUAAUCCUGUAGUCGAAAAUGAAUACACUCUUGAGUGGAUCCUGAGUACGACGGAGCACGUGAAAUUCCGUCGGAAUCUAGGAGGACCAUCUCCUAAGGCUAAAUACUCUCUAGUGACCGAUAGUGAACCAGUACCGUGAGGGAAAGGUGAAAAGUACCCCGGAAGGGGAGUGAAAAAGAACUUGAAACCGUGUGCUUACAAGUAGUCAGAGCCCGUUAAUGGGUGAUGGCGUGCCUUUUGUAGAAUGAACCGGCGAGUUACGAUCUGAUGCAAGGUUAAGCAGUGAAUGUGGAGCCGUAGCGAAAGCGAGUCUGAAUAGGGCGAAUGAGUAUUUGGUCGUAGACCCGAAACCAGGUGAUCUACCCAUGGUCAGGUUGAAGUUCAGGUAACACUGAAUGGAGGACCGAACCGACUUACGUUGAAAAGUGAGCGGAUGAACUGUGGGUAGCGGAGAAAUUCCAAUCGAACUUGGAGAUAGCUGGUUCUCUCCGAAAUAGCUUUAGGGCUAGCCUCAAGUGAUGAUUAUUGGAGGUAGAGCACUGUUUGGACGAGGGGCCCCUCUCGGGUUACCGAAUUCAGACAAACUCCGAAUGCCAAUCAAUUUAACUUGGGAGUCAGAACGUGGGCGAUAAGGUUCAUGUUCGAAAGGGAAACAGCCCAGACCACCAGCUAAGGUCCCAAAAUAUAUGUUAAGUGGAAAAGGAUGUGGCGUUGCCCAGACAACUAGGAUGUUGGCUUAGAAGCAGCCAUCAUUUAAAGAGUGCGUAAUAGCUCACUAGUCGAGUGACGCUGCGCCGAAAAUGUACCGGGGCUAAACAUAUUACCGAAGCUGUGGAUUGUCCUUCGGACAAUGGUAGGAGAGCGUUCUAAGGGCGUUGAAGCAUGAUCGCAAGGACAUGUGGAGCGCUUAGAAGUGAGAAUGCCGGUGUGAGUAGCGAAAGACGGGUGAGAAUCCCGUCCACCGAUUGACUAAGGUUUCCAGAGGAAGGCUCGUCCGCUCUGGGUUAGUCGGGUCCUAAGCUGAGGCCGAUAGGCGUAGGCGAUGGAUAACAGGUUGAUAUUCCUGUACCACCCACUUUCGUUUUAAGCGAUGGGAGGACGCAGUAGGAUAGGCGAAGCGUGCGAUUGGAUGUACGUUCAAGCAGUAAGGCUGAGUGUUAGGCAAAUCCGGCACUCGUCAGGCUGAGCUGUGAUGAGGAGGGGGAAUUGUUCCCCUGAGUCGCUGAUUUCACACUGCCGAGAAAAGUCUCUAGCUAGAAAAGGGGGUGCCCGUGCCGCAAACCGACACAGGUGGUCAAGAUGAGAAUUCUAAGGUGAGCGAGCGAACUCUCGUUAAGGAACUCGGCAAAAUGACCCCGUAACUUCGGGAGAAGGGGUGCUCUCUGGGGUGUACGCUCCGGAGAGCCGCAGUGAAUAGGCCCAAGCGACUGUUUAUCAAAAACACAGGUCUCUGCUAAACCGUAAGGUGAUGUAUAGGGGCUGACGCCUGCCCGGUGCUGGAAGGUUAAGAGGAGUGGUUAGCUUCUGCGAAGCCACGAAUCGAAGCCCCAGUAAACGGCGGCCGUAACUAUAACGGUCCUAAGGUAGCGAAAUUCCUUGUCGGGUAAGUUCCGACCCGCACGAAAGGCGUAACGAUUUGGGCACUGUCUCAACGAGAGACUCGGUGAAAUCAUAGUACCUGUGAAGAUGCAGGUUACCCGCGACAGGACGGAAAGACCCCGUGGAGCUUUACUGUAGCCUGAUAUUGAAAUUCGGCACAGCUUGUACAGGAUAGGUAGGAGCCUUAGAAACGUGAGCGCUAGCUUACGUGGAGGCGUUGGUGGGAUACUACCCUCGCUGUGUUGGAUUUCUAACCCGCACCACUGAUCGUGGUGGGAGACAGUGUCAGGUGGGCAGUUUGACUGGGGCGGUCGCCUCCAAAAAGGUAACGGAGGCGCUCAAAGGUUCCCUCAGAAUGGUUGGAAAUCAUUCAUAGAGUGUAAAGGUAUAAGGGAGCUUGACUGCGAGACCUACAAGUCGAGCAGGGUCGAAAGACGGACUUAGUGAUCCGGUGGUUCCGCAUGGAAGGGCCAUCGCUCAACGGAUAAAAGCUACCCCGGGGAUAACAGGCUUAUCUCCCCCAAGAGUUCACAUCGACGGGGAGGUUUGGCACCUCGAUGUCGGCUCAUCGCAUCCUGGGGCUGUAGUCGGUCCCAAGGGUUGGGCUGUUCGCCCAUUAAAGCGGUACGCGAGCUGGGUUCAGAACGUCGUGAGACAGUUCGGUCCCUAUCCGUCGUGGGCGUAGGAAAUUUGAGAGGAGCUGUCCUUAGUACGAGAGGACCGGGAUGGACAUACCUCUGGUGUACCAGUUGUCGUGCCAACGGCAUCGCUGGGUGGCUAUGUAUGGACGGGAUAAGUGCUGAAAGCAUCUAAGCAUGAAGCCCCCCUCAAGAUGAGAUUUCCCAACUUCGGUUAUAAGAUCCCUCAAAGAUGAUGAGGUGAAUAGGUUCGAGGUGGAAGCGUGGCGACACGUGGAGCUGACGAAUACUAAUCGAUCGAAGACUUAAUCAAUUU